UCUCCGUAGGUGAACCUGCGGAGGGAUCAUUACAGAGUUCAUGCCCUACCGGGUAGAUCUCCCACUCUAUGUUAUUAUUACUUUGUCGCUUUGGCGGGCCGUUAGGCUCCGGCCCGACUACCGGCCCCGGCUGGUAAGCGCCCGCCAGAGGACCCAAAACCCUGAAUAUUAGUGUCGUCUGAGUACUAUAUAAUAGUUAAAACUUUCAACAACGGAUCUCUUGGUUCUGGCAUCGAUGAAGAACGUAGC
rnacentral:misc_RNA from 1 species